CCUACGGGAGGCUGCAGUGAGGAAUAUUGGUCAAUGGACGAGAGUCUGAACCAGCCAAGUAGCGUGAAGGAUGACUGCCCUAUGGGUUGUAAACUUCUUUUAUAUGGGAAUAAAAUGUUCCACGUGUGGGAUUUUGUAUGUACCAAAUGAAUAAGGAUCGGCUAACUCCGUGCCAGCAGCCGCGGUAAUACGGAGGAGCCGAGCGUUAUCCGGAUUUAUUGGGUUUAAAGGGAGCGUAGGUGGAUUGUUAAGUCAGUUGUGAAAGUUUGCGGCUCAACCGUAAAAUUGCAGUUGAAACUGGCAGUCUUGAGUACAGUAGAGGUGGGCGGAAUUCGUGGUGUAGCGGUGAAAUGCUUAGAUAUCACGAAGAACUCCGAUUGCGAAGGCAGUUCACUGGACUGCAACUGACACUGAGGCUCGAAAGUGUGGGUAUCAAACAGGAUUAGAUACCCCUGUAGUC
rnacentral:rRNA from 1 species